rnacentral:misc_RNA from 1 species
GAUGAAGAACGCAGCGAAAUGCGAUAAGUAAUGUGAAUUCCAGAAUUCAGUGAAUCAUCGAAUCUUUGAACGCACAUUGCGCCCCUUGGUAUUCCGAGGGGCAUGCCUGUUCGAGCGUCAUUAUAACCCCUCAAGCUCAGCUUGGUGUUGGGGCCUGCUGCACUGGCAGCCCUUAAAAUCAGUGGCGGCGCCAUCUGGCUCUAAGCGUAGUAAUUCUUCUCGCUAUGGAGUCCUGGUGGAUGCUUGCCAUCAACCCCCAAUUUUUCUAUGGUUGACCUCGGAUCAGGUAGGGAUACCCGCUGAACUUAAGCAUAUCAAUAAGCGGAGGA